UACGUAGGGUGCAAGCGUUAAUCGGAAUUACUGGGCGUAAAGCGUGCGCAGGCGGUUUUGUAAGACAGAGGUGAAAUCCCCGGGCUCAACCUGGGAACUGCCUUUGUGACUGCAAGGCUUGAGUGCGGCAGAGGGGGAUGGAAUUCCGCGUGUAGCAGUGAAAUGCGUAGACAUGCGGAGGAACACCGAUGGCGAAGGCAAUCCCCUGGGCCUGCACUGACGCUCAUGCACGAAAGCGUGGGGAGCAAACAGG
rnacentral:rRNA from 1 species